rnacentral:misc_RNA from 1 species
AAGUCGUAACAAGGUCUCCGUUGGUGAACCAGCGGAGGGAUCAUUACCGAGUUUACAACUCCCAAACCCAAUGUGAACGUUACCAAACUGUUGCCUCGGCGGGAUCUCUGCCCCGGGUGCGUCGCAGCCCCGGACCAAGGCGCCCGCCGGAGGACCAACCUAAAACUCUUUUUGUAUACCCCCUCGCGGGUUUUUUAUAAUCUGAGCCUUCUCGGCGCCUCUCGUAGGCGUUUCGAAAAUGAAUCAAAACUUUCAACAACGGAUCUCUUGGUUCUG